CAUCUAUGGACUUACUAAAGACUUAAUCAUACAUUAACUAGCAGGAUUACGAGGGUCAAGCCUCCGAGUUGUAAUGGCUGGAUUCCCUAAGACCAAAUGCCCCCAUCCUCAGGUGACAAUGUAUCUAUUGUACAGGAAAUUGCUUUGGCUCCCACAGCAAGCUAAAAGCAUUUACAAAAAGCAUUUACAAUGGCAUUGGAAUUUCAAGCUGAUGGUUGAUAUACCAAGUAGUUUACAAUCAGGUCCUUACCAACCCUAGUGUCAGCACUUGCUACUAAACCAGUUGAAUGCGACUGCAGUGUCGCAGACAUUUGAAAGCAGUUCUUUCUGUGGUUUAUUUCUCUGUCCUUGCCGGGUCCUCUUCUGCCCUUCUAUCCCCUAAGUUCACUUGCUUCAGGUUGAGUCCUUGAUCUUUCCCCAGUAUCUAGCAGGGUUGAAGAUCUAAUGCUUCUUCAGAUGCUGGAACCCAGCUCUCUAUCCAGUGGAGAUGUCUGUAAUCUGUAGCUUUAUUUCUUCAAUAUUUGGGUAAGUACAGGGCAGUGUGAUUCUAAGAAUAGGAAAUUGAAUGAUAUAGUUCCUUUUCCAACAUCUAAUUUAUUCAUCCAUUCACUUGAAAUUCAGAAAGGAGGUUCUAUGAAUGGUAAAAUUAUGCAAGUAUGUAUUGGUUAAGUUUCUCUUUUGUUUAAAGCUAUUAACAAAUUAAGUUGAUUGCUUGAGAUGAGAUUGAUAGUUAAAUGCAAGAAAAUGAUAAUAUUUGGUAAUGGAUCGAAAUGCAGAAAGGCUUGCAAGCAAACUCUUAUGUGGAGGGAAUAGGGAGGUCAGGUCUUUUUAGUUCUGAUGAUUGGAGUCCACUACAAGAUGAUCCCCAACCGUCAGUAUUCUUUGUGCUAUAUUGAAAAUAAAAUUUCCAGUCCACCUUUGGGUAGUUUGGAACUGACUGUCUUCAUUUAAUACAGCUUAUAGACUACAGAGGAAUUCUUCACACUAUCUCGUACUGUACUGCUUAGAUUUAAUCUAAAAGCGUUUACAAUGGCAUUGGGAUUUUCAAGCUGAUGACUGGAUAUAUGCCUUGGGAUGUCAUCAUAAGAUCAUUCAACUGUAGUCCAGCUUGAGAAAUUGAACCAUCUGCAAAACAGCAUUUUAUGUCAGAGGUUUAUCUAACAAUGUGCACCAUCAAGAAAACUCUGCACACAUUGAUGGAUUGAUGAGGUUCUUACUAAAGCAAGGCAUUUUGCUUCACGUAUCUCAGAGAAGUUAAUUAAGAGUGGAUGUGUCCCUGAAUUCCAUUCCAUGGAAACACUGGGGAUGACCCUAAAUGGCUUGUAAGCAUUGAACAGGAAGCUAUGGGAGUUUGUGAUCAUGAGCGGUCACGCGAGGAAGUUCGACACCAGAUUGUUUCGUUGGUUAUAUAUUUGUACCUAGGAAGGAAAAUAUUUAAGGCGACUAAAUAGUGGUGAAAUUGAUACUUACAUCAUUCAUCAUCAGGAUUGUGAUGAUAUUGUUUGUGGCUAGUACCCAAGACUGUUCUGUUAUGCCAUCUAGAAACCAGCACUUUCCACUGAACUGAGUGAAUGUGCAAUGAUCUUCAGAGACAUUUGAAAGCUGUUCUUUCUGUGAUUCAUCUUGCUGUCCCUACCGGAUCCUCCUCUGCUCUUCUAUCCCCAAAGUUCACUUGGUGAUGUGGUGCUGAAAACCUAUACAGCAAUUGCACAAUACAUGAGUAGAGGUGAAACUAAAAUUGGAAAGCAAAGCUACAUCUUCGUUUGGGAAUUCUUUUUAUGCCUAUCUCACUCUGGUAUGGUGGUAAACCUCAAACUGCAGAAAACCAAAGUUGCUCUGCCAGACUCCUUUAUGAGUAAACUGAUCUCUUCUCUUGAGGCUUCUGUUGUGUUCCAAGAGAGGAAAUUAUGAACCUAGCUAUCACUCAAUUAGUCAUAAAAUUAGACAGUUGCUGGCUACGUCUCAUCUCAUAGCUGUAGUUUGCUGUGGAAUUAAUCAAAGCAGAAGAUUUCUGCGUUGGUUCAGCCUGUGAACCAUUAAUUAUUUGCUCAGGUCAUCAAAUGCUUUGUAAAUAGAUGAUUUUGUGAUGUGGCUGAAGAGCAUCCUGAUUGAUUUGCUCGACCACCCACCGGUCCAGGCUGAUUAUUUCUGUUGUACAUCUUAUGAAUAACUUAAUAAAGUUUGAGGUAUUUCAUGAAAAAA